AUGUGCGUACUACGCCACCUUCACCGCCGCAAUCACCAUCAUAACCAUUCCUGCUUGUUAUUCCUUUUUCUCUUGUUCUCUUCUUCUUCAGCAAUAACCACUCUCGCACCACAACCCGGUACCGGAACAGUGAAGCACGAGGUUUCUGAAAAUCUGUCUCCGGCUUCACCGUGGGAAAGAGAUAUGACUCAACAGAAGAAGCUCAACGGUCCAGGUUCAGCACCUCCGUCAUGUAGAUCCAAGUGCGGUUGGUGCAACCCGUGUCACCCGGUUCACGUUCCGGUUCAACCCGGUUUAAUCAUACGGCUCGAGUAUUAUCCAGAAGCUUGGCGUUGCAAGUGUGGGAACAAGCUUUUUUUGCCUUGA